rnacentral:rRNA from 1 species
UACGGAGGGAGCUAGCGUUGUUCGGAAUUACUGGGCGUAAAGCGCACGUAGGCGGCUUUGUAAGUUAGAGGUGAAAGCCCGGGGCUCAACUCCGGAACUGCCUUUAAGACUGCAUCGCUUGAAUCCAGGAGAGGUGAGUGGAAUUCCGAGUGUAGAGGUGAAAUUCGUAGAUAUUCGGAAGAACACCAGUGGCGAAGGCGACUGACUGGACAAGUAUUGACGCUGAGGUGCGAAAGCGUGGGGAGCGAACAGG